rnacentral:rRNA from 1 species
UUUCGCAAUGCCCGAAAGGGUGACGAAGCGACGCCGCGUGGGUGAGGAAGGCCUUCGGGUUGUAAAGCCCUGUCAGGAGUUAUGAAAUGUAAGUGCGCUAAUAUCGUACUUAUUUGACAAAGGCUCCAAAGGAAGCCACGGCUAACUCUGUGCCAGCAGCCGCGGUAAUACAGAGGUGGCGAGCGUUGUUCGGAAUUAUUGGGCGUAAAGAGCACGUAGGUGGGUUUGCAAGUCAGAUGUGAAAGCCUUCUGUUCAACGGAAGAAUUGCAUCUGAAACUGCUAAUCUUGAGUAUAGGAGGGGAGAAUGGAACUUCUGGUGGAGCGGUGAAAUGCGUAGAUAUCAGAAGGAACGCCGGCGGCGAAAGCGAUUCUCUGGCCUAUUACUGACACUCAGUGUGCGAAAGCUAGGGGAGCAAACGGGAUUAGAUACCCCGGUAGUCCUAGCCGUAAACGAUGGGCACUAAGUAGAGGGGUUUUAAUC